GCAGAACUUAAUGGGACAGAAACAAAAUACAACAGUGCCCAAAAAUUAGAAACAAAUAAAUAAAAGCCAGCCUCAGACUCAUAGGGGGGAAAACUAUGAGAAGCGUUCGAUAACAAACUGCAAUCGUAUAUGAAUGGAUGAAUGAAUCAAAAUUAAUGUGAAUUGGUUUUUCAGUUCACAAAUUUUGUAGAUGUGCCACUUAGAUAAAACCUAAAUUAUGCGGCUUAUUCUAAAAUUUGAGUUUGUGAAUUGAUCUGUCAAUGCAG
rnacentral:misc_RNA from 1 species